GCCGGCGCGCCGGCGGGGUUGGAGAGUGAGGGGGCCGGGGUCCGGCGGCGGCCCCCUCUGUCCGGAGGAGGUCCGUUCUGCCCCCGCCCGCGGCGCUGGGAAGUGUGUGCUCCACCUGCCAGUUGGGCCCGAGGGGACGCGGAGCCGGCCCCGCGUGCAACCGCGUGCCCUCAGCCCCGCGCGCGCAGGGGCGCCGGCGCGCUGAGGGGAGCGAGACUCGACGCGCUUGCCCACGAAGGCCCAAGGACCGCCCCCAGGAGCGUCCAGUUGUGGGAAACACUGGCAGGAGACGGGAGCGAGAAGGACCCUGAGGCCUGGUUACUUGUUCCUGAGAUCAGCCCUGCUGGGUCACGGAGGUGAGAGCGUCUAUGGAAGGCCUGUCAUCGUGGCCUCUUGCGUUCAGCUCUCCCCAUCUCGGUUCUGGUAACAGCCUUCCCCUCCUGCCCUUAUCAGCCCGGAGCACAGCCUGCCCUCGGCACCACGGGCGUGGGGCUUAUCGGUGGCACCUGGCGACCCCACCAAUGCCUGGGUAGCAGACACAUACAUGCUGGCCCUCGAUAAAUGUUUGUCAGACGAACGGGCCAGGCACUGAAUCACGGAGUGGUUGCAGUCACACGAGAGCCUUGUGACUUGUGGCCACACCGCCGGUGGUUAGAAGACUGUGCGGUUGGCGCUGGGCACAGCUGAUGGCUCCUCUGGGGGGACCAGGCCAGGGAUCUGGGGCAAGUUGUUGAAGCUGGCCGGGCUCGAUUCCUUCUCUUUCGAGUGGGGAUCGUACUGUCGUCUUCACUGAGUUGAUUAAAUGAGAAACAAUUCAC